rnacentral:rRNA from 1 species
GUACCCGCGGCAAGACGGAAAGACCCCGUGAACCUUUACUAUAGCUUGACACUGAACAUUGAGCCUUGAUGUGUAGGAUAGGUGGGAGGCUUUGAAGCGUGGACGCCAGUCUGCGUGGAGCCGACCUUGAAAUACCACCCUUUAAUGUUUGAUGUUCUAACGUGGAUCCGUAAUCCGGGUUGCGGACAGUGUCUGGUGGGUAGUUUGACUGGGGCGGUCUCCUCCUAAAGAGUAACGGAGGAGCACGAAGGUUGGCUAAUCCUGGUCGGACAUCAGGAGGUUAGUGCAAUGGCAUAAGCCAGCUUGACUGCGAGCGUGACGGCGCGAGCAGGUGCGAAAGCAGGUCAUAGUGAUCCGGUGGUUCUGAAUGGAAGGGCCAUCGCUCAACGGAUAAAAGGUACUCCGGGGAUAACAGGCUGAUACCGCCCAAGAGUUCAUAUCGACGGCGGUGUUUGGCACCUCGAUGUCGGCUCAUCACAUCCUGGGGCUGAAGUAGGUCCCAAGGGUAUGGCUGUUCGCCAUUUAAAGUGGUACGCGAGCUGGGUUUAGAACGUCGUGAGACAGUUCGGUCCCUAUCUGCCGUGGGCGCUGGAGAACUGAGGGGGGCUGCUCCUAGUACGAGAGGACCGGAGUGGACGCAUCACUGGUGUUCGGGUUGUCAUGCCAAUGGCACUGCCCGGUAGCUAAAUGCGGAAGAGAUAAGUGCUGAAAGCAUCUAAGCACGAAACUUGCCCCGAGAUGAGUUCUCCCUGAGACUUAGAGUCUCCUGAAGGAACGUUGAAGACGACGACGUUGAUAGGCCGGGUGUGUAAGCGCAGCGAUGCGUUGAGCUAACCGGUACUAAUGAACCGUGAGGCUUAACCUU